rnacentral:rRNA from 1 species
UACGUAGGGGGCAAGCGUUGUCUGGAAUCAUUGGGCGUAAAGAGCGUGUAGGCGGUCCGAUAAGUCCGCUCUGAAAGCCCGGGGCUCAACCCCGGGAGGCGGGCGGAUACUGUCGGGCUAGAGUCCGGAAGAGGCAAGUGGAAUUCCUGGUGUAGCGGUGAAAUGCACAGAUAUCAGGAGGAACACCAAUGGCGAAGGCAGCACUCUGGGACGUGACUGACGCUGAGACGCGAAAGCGUGGGGAGCAAACAGG